GACGAACGCUGGCGGCGUGCCUAAUACAUGCAAGUCGAGCGGAAGUUGGAGAGCUUGCUCUUCAACUUUAGCGGCGGACGGGUGAGUAACACGUGGGCAACCUGCCCUGCAGAUCGGGAUAACUCCGGGAAACCGGUGCUAAUACCGAAUAGUUUUCGCCACCUCCUGGUGGCGUACGGAAAGACGGUUUCGGCUGUCACUGCAGGAUGGGCCCGCGGCGCAUUAGCUAGUUGGUGGGGUAACGGCCCACCAAGGCGACGAUGCGUAGCCGACCUGAGAGGGUGAUCGGCCACACUGGGACUGAGACACGGCCCAGACUCCUACGGGAGGCAGCAGCAGGGAAUCUUCCGCAACGGACGAAAGUCUGACGGAGCAACGCCGCGUGAGUGACGAAGGUUUUCGGAUCGUAAAACUCUGUUGUGAGGGAAGAACAAGUACCAAUUAACUACUGGUACCUUGACGGUACCUCACCAGAAAGCCACGGCUAACUACGUGCCAGCAGCCGCCGUAACAC
rnacentral:rRNA from 1 species